rnacentral:rRNA from 1 species
CCUACGGGAGGCAGCAGUGGGGAAUAUUGCACAAUGGGCGGAAGCCUGAUGCAGCGACGCCGCGUGAGGGAUGAAGGCCUUCGGGUUGUAAACCUCUUUCAGCAGGGACGAAGCGUGAGUGACGGUACCUGCAGAAGAAGCACCGGCUAACUACGUGCCAGCAGCCGCGGUAAUACGUAGGGUGCGAGCGUUGUCCGGAAUUACUGGGCGUAAAGAGUUCGUAGGCGGUUUGUCGCGUCGUUUGUGAAAACCCGGGGCUCAACUUCGGGCUUGCAGGCGAUACGGGCAGACUUGAGUGUUUCAGGGGAGACUGGAAUUCCUGGUGUAGCGGUGAAAUGCGCAGAUAUCAGGAGGAACACCGGUGGCGAAGGCGGGUCUCUGGGAAACAACUGACGCUGAGGAACGAAAGCGUGGGUAGCAAACAGGAUUAGAUACCCUGGUAGUCCACGCCGUAAACGGUGGGCGCUAGGUGUGGGUUCCUUCCACGGGAUCUGUGCCGUAGCUAACGCAUUAAGCGCCCGCCUGGGGAGUACGGCCGCAAGGCUAAAACGUAGAAAGUAGUAGGCGNGUGAGAGUUCGACGAGACGACGACGGAGGAGGNG